rnacentral:tRNA from 1 species
GGUCAUGUCUCAGUGGUAAUGAACAUGACUAGUAUCCAUGAGGAUGCAGGUUUGAUUCCUGGCCUUGAUCA